rnacentral:SRP_RNA from 1 species
GCCGGGUGUGGUGAUGUGCACCUGUAGUCCUAGCUACUUGGGAGGCUGAGAUGGGAGGAUCGCUUGAGCCUGGGAAGUUGAGGCUGCAGUGAGCCAUGAUCAUGCCACUGCACUCCAGCCUGGGUGACAGAAUGAGACCCUGUCUCAA